rnacentral:misc_RNA from 1 species
UCCUAGUUAACCUAGGCAGUCUCAUUAGAGUUCCCAUCCGAAAUGUUGGCAACUAAUGAUAAGGGUUGCGCUCGUUGCGGGACUUAACCCAACACCUCACGGCACGAGCUGACGACAGCCAUGCAGCACCUAUACAAUAGCUCUUACGAGAGGCCCUCUUUCGAGGGUUGUCUACUGCACUUCUAGCCUGGGUAAGGUUCUGCGCGUUGCAUCGAAUUAAACCACAUGCUCCACUGCUUGUGCGGGCCCCCGUCAAUUCUUUUGAGUUUCACCCUUGCGAGCGUACUCCUCAGGCGGUAUACUUAUCGCGUUAGCUACGACACAGUCGGGGUUGAGUCCAACUACAUCAAGUAUACAUCGUUUACGGCAAGGACUAC